CACCGGAUAUCUAUGCCAAAAGAUGAGAGAGUUGAAAGUACUCCAAGCAAACCUCCCUAGAUGAAUUAGAUGAAAGUCUAAUAUUCCAAGAUAAAAUUCUAAAAUUGAAAUAAGUAGGUACAAUUCUAUUUUUCUUUUUGCUAUUCUUAAAGGGAGAGGGGAACAAGCAUUGAAGAGGAGCAUUACAAAUCCAGCUGUCCUUCCAGAAGAGCAUGUUCUGAC
rnacentral:lncRNA from 1 species